UCGCCUUCUAGAAAACUCCACCCUUGUGUAUUUAUAAUUUGUUGCUUUGGCAGGCCGCGAGAUUGCUUAUAGCGAUUGAGCACCGGCUCCGGCUGGAGAGUGCCUGCCAGAGGACCCCAACUCUGUUAUUAUGUCGUCUGAGUACUAUUUAAUAGUUAAAACUUUCAACAACGGAUCUCUUGGUUCUGGCAUCGAUGAAGAACGCAGCGAAAUGCGAUAAGUAAUGUGAAUUGCAGAAUUCAGUGAAUCAUCGAAUCUUUGAACGCACAUUGCGCCCCUUGGUAUUCCGAGGGGCAUGCCUGUUCGAGCGUCAUUAUAACCAAUCACGCCCUGUGCGUGGUCUUGGGGUUCGCGAUUCCCGCGUCCCUUAAAACCAGUGGCGGUGCCGUUGGGCUCUAAGCGUAGUAAUUUCUCUCGCUAUAGCGUCUUGCGGUUGCUUGCCAUAACCCCAAAUUUUUCAGGUUGACCUCGGAUCAGGUAGGGAUACCCGCUGAACUUAAGCAUAUCAAUAAGCGGAGGAAAAGAAACCAACAGGGAUUACCUCAGUAACGGCGAGUGAAGCGGUAACAGCUCAAAUUUGAAAUCUGGCUCUUUUAGGGUCCGAGUUGUAAUUUGUAGAAGAUGCUUUGGGUGUAGCUCCGGUCUAAGUUCCUUGGAACAGGACGUCAUAGAGGGUGAGAAUCCCGUAUGUGACUGGUGGCUUUCGCCCGUGUAAAGCUCUUUCGACGAGUCGAGUUGUUUGGGAAUGCAGCUCAAAAUGGGUGGUAUAUCUCAUCUAAAGCUAAAUAUUGGCCAGAGACCGAUAGCGCACAAGUAGAGUGAUCGAAAGAUGAAAAGCACUUUGGAAAGAGAGUUAAACAGUACGUGAAAUUGUUGAAAGGGAAGCGCUUGCNACCAGACUUGCNGGNCGUUGAUCAUCCGGGGUUCUCCCCGGUGCACUCGGCGGCUUUCAGGNCAGCAUCGGUUUNG
rnacentral:rRNA from 1 species